AAAAAAGGAAGAUUGGCAACAAAUUUUAGCUUAGGGCCACUCUUCCUCACCAAAAAAAAAAAAAAAAAAAGAUGAUUAGGGAAACCAAUGGAAAAGACAUAAAAUAAAUUUAAUUUCUUUGCACCUAUAGUUUCAGAAAUUCACGUUAGACACUGAUUGGCUGAGGAGCCCAAGAUAAACUUAGAAACCCAUUUAAUAUGAAGAGUUAUUUUUACAUGUAAUCGAGGGAAAAGAAUAGUUUAUGAAGGGAUUCUCAGAGACCUGUAGCUGCGAAGAUGUCGACUACUUGGGUUAAGAGGGGUAUUAAUUAACUCAGAGAUUUAUGGCGUAGUUGGCAAUGGCUGAUGUUUAUUAUCUACUAUUUAAUUUUAACAAAUACCUAGGAUUAAUAGUUAAUAUUUACUUAGCUCUUUUUUCUGAAGUGCUUACAUGAAAAUCUUCUUUUGACGCUCAGACAGUGCUGUGAGGUAGAUGGGGUAGGCGUGUAUAUCUAUAUUAUAUCAAAAAGCUAAAGAAACUAAAGCAAACUGGUAGGUGGAUACCGGGGUGACCCUCACCAGGAGGAGGAGGUGUCUGAAGUUCAUCGAAGGCCGUCAGCUUUCAAAACCAGCUUUCUUGUCCAGGGUCCCAGGUCAGAGCCGCCUGGCAAAGGCGUGCAAGGUGUGGUCAGGCCUUAUUCACAUCUGAAACCUCCACAACGACGCUGCAGCUUCCUGGAGCUCAGAAAGGGAAGGGACGUCUGUCGUUGCAGGAGGAAGCUAAGAUCUGGACCUUGACCAGCCUGCCGGGCAGAGCUCGUGAAUGGUGAGAACCAACCAGGACCCAGGUCCCUGUCUCCACCCGGAAUUGAUUUCAGUUCUAACACACCACUUAGAGCCUUUCUUGGUUGUUAAAAUAAAACCUAAUGGGGGGGGGGGGGCCAGUCCAGGGGCGCAGUGGUUAAGUUCGCACGUUCCACUCCGGCAGCCUGGGGUUUGCUGUUUCAGAUCCCGGGUGCGGACAUGGCACCGCUUGGCACGCCAUGCUGUGGUAGGCAUCCCACAUAUAAAGUAGAGGAAGGAAGAGGGCACGGAAGUUAGCUCAGGGCCAGUCUUCCUCAAAAUAAAAAAAGCUUAAUGGGGUGGUAGGAGGGAACAAAAUGUGCCACUAAAUACUGAAAAUUGGACUCCACAUCUGUGGACUAUGUGUCUUUGUUCCUCUUGGUUCAUUGCCUUUUUCUUAUUUAAAAACAUAUUUUAAAUUUCAAAGCAUUUCAAACACACACAAAAAUGCAAAAAUCAUGUAUCAGUCAUUCAUGCGCUCACCAACUGCAUCUAACCCAGGCUACCGUGUUGCUCUAUUUCCUUUAAAUCUUUAAAUUUUAAACAGUAGAGGACAUGUAAUAACUCAUUGGAGAGCCCCACCCUUGCCCCAUCCCUUCCUCCAUCACAGGGGCAGCCAUGGUUCUGUAGUCAAGAAAACUCUUUCUUGUUUUCAUUCCUUCUAUCACACGUGUGUGGGCAUGCAACACUAUAAAGCAUUGUUUUAUGUCUUUAAUUUUCAUAAUGACAUCAUUUUUGCAGUUUGGUUAUUCACUUCCUGGCACUGACUUGGGUGACAAACGCCGUGGAGAAUACUUCCUGGGCAGACCUCGAGUGAGCUCUCCCCAUCUCUGCACCCAUCAGACUCUCUUAUAAACACAGGGGGGAGCACACACACACACACACCAGGCCUGCGUGUGCCCCCACUGACCCGGCCCAGCUGAUCUGGCCAUUCCCGGAACCCUGGGUGUUUACAUUGUACCGCAGACAAGCUGCCACAAUGAUCUAAACGUCAUUCUGUCUUCUCGUCCACAUGAGCAAGAAUUUCUCUUUAUAGACAUUACUAGGUCUCUCCAAAGUGGUUGUAUGAGUUUCCUCUGGUUGCUGUAACAAAUUCCCGCAAAUUUAGGGGCUUAAAACACCAAAAAUUUGGGGCCAGCCCGGUGGCAUAGUGGUUAAGUUCAUGCACUCCGCUUCAGCAGCCCAGGGUUCACCAGUUCAGAUCCUGAGCGUGGACCUAGCACCACUCAUCAGGCCAUGCUGAGGUGGCGUCCCACAUAGCACAACCAGAAGGACCUACAAAUAGAAUAUAGGACUAUGUACUGGGUGGCUUUGGGGAGAAGACAAAGGAAAAAUAGACGAUUGGCAACAGAUCUUAGCUCAGGGCCAAUCUUUAAAAAAAACACACAACACGCACACACAAGUUUAUCAUCUUACAGUUCUGGAGGGUGGAAGUCCAACAUGCCUCUCUCUGGGCUGAUUCCAGGUGUCUGCAGGGCUGGCUCCUUUUGAUGGCUCGAGGGCAGCGUCUGUUUCCUGGCCAGUUCCUACUUCUAGAGGCUGCCAGCAGGCCUUGGUUAUGGCCCCUUCCUCCUCCACAAAGCCAGCAGCCUCGAGCUGAGUCCAUCUCUCUGGUUUUCUCUCUCCUGGCCCCUCUUCCAUUUAUAAGGACUCCCAUGACUGUGUUGGGCCCACCCCAAUAAUCCAGGAUAAUCUCCCCAUCUCAGGUCAGCUGACCAGCAAACUUAAUUCCCUCUGCAAACUUAAUUCCCCCUUUGCCGUGUAAGGUAGCUGUGACAUUGGGAUUUAUAUAAUAAAAAAUAUCUAUUUGGUCUUUGUCCUCGUUCCUGGCACAGAGCUCCUACAACCCCUGGAAUUUCCUAAGUGUUGCGAGUGAAAAAGGUAUCUUCUGUUAUGUGAAGGAGGUGACUUUUAGGGGCUGGUUGCCUUGAAAACCAACCAUGUGAUGGAGGGUUGGAACUUCCAGUCCCACCCCUGACCUCUGGAGAGGGGCAAGGGCUGGGGAUCGAGUUCAAUCACCAAUGGUUAAUGAUUUAAUCAGCUCGUGUAUGUAAUGAAGUCUUCAUCAAAACCCAAAAGGACAGGGUUCAGCGAGCUUCCGGGUUGGUCAACACCUGGAGACGGGGGGACAAUGGUGCCUGAGGAGGACAUGGAAGUUCAUCCCCCUGUUCCCAUACCUUCCCUACCCAUGUCUUUCAUCUGGCUGUUCCUGAGUUACAUCCUUUAUAAUAAACUGGGAAUCUGGUGAGUUUUCUCAGUUUAGCUGGUUAAACCAGUUUAACUGGUUUCCUGAGUCCUGUGAGCUGCUCUAGCAAACUAAUAAAUCCAAGGAGGGGGUCGUGGGGACCUGCAAUCUAUAGUCUGUUGGUCAGAAGCACAGGUGACAACCUGGACUUUGACUGGCAUCUGAAGGUCUCGGGGGGUGGGGGGGGGGGGAGCCUUGUGGGACUGAGCCCUUACCCUGAGGCAUGGGAUGCUGUCGCAGGAUAGCAGUGUCAGAAUCGGGUUGAAUUGUAGGACAUCCAGCUGGUGUCUGGAGACCUGCUAGUUAGUGGUACCGGGAAACCCCUCACACACACCCCCACACAUUGCAAUUGGGUGUCGAGAACCUAAAUGUGACAUAUUCAUAGGACCUGGACGUCUUUGGGGGGACACUUAUUCUGCAGCCACAGAGGUUCGACCAGCACUUCACUCCCACCAGCGGUGCGUAAGACUUCCUAUUUUCUCACUUCUUGCCGAGAUUUGGUAUUAUCAGAUUUUACAACAUUCUCAAUCUGAUGGAUAGAAAAUGAUGUUUGCUGACGGUUUUAAUUUGCAUUUCUCUGUUUACAAAUGAACUUGAACAUCUUUUCAUAUUUUUAUCGGCCUUUCAGCUUUCAUUUUUGAAUUACCUGUACCUACCCUUUUAUCUCAUUUUUCUAAUUUUUUUUCACUUAUGUACAAGGGUCUUUAUAAUGUAGAGACUAAUUCUUGGUCAGUGAUCAGUUACAGGUGUCUCAAAAAUCACUUCCCAGAUGAGGCUUAGCUUUAACUUUGUGAGGUUUUUGUUGUACACGAGGUUUUAUGUCAGUGUAGUCACAUUUGUGGAUCUUUCCAUUUACGAUUUGUGGAUUUUUAAAAGUCUUAUUCAUAGGAUUUUUCUUUAGUGUGAUAAGGUAAAGAUAUUCUUUACAAUUAUUACGUUUUAAAUUUUUGCCUUUCCAACAUGGGUCUUGAUCCAUUGGUAUUUAUAUUUGUGGGUGUGAGAAAGAGCUUUCCUUUUAUUUUCGCCUGUCUGUCUUCUGUGUCUGUCUUCACCCGACGAUGGACGGAUCCAGUCUUCUCUCUCCCCUGCCUUCGGCUCUGGCUCCCUGAGGACCCUCCCAUGUGGGAGUGACUUUGGAGGGGGGUCCUGUUCUGGUCACUGUUCAAUCUUCCAUCCUCCCAAAACCAUAAAUAAAUUCCACAGUUUUUAGUAAGUCUUGAUAUCUACUACUGGUCAAAUAUGCCAACUUUUCUUCUUGAAAGUUAUCUUCAUCAUUUGGACUUUUUGUACCUGCGUGUGAAUCACAGCGUCAUCUUGUCAAGUUUUGAGAAACCUUUUUUGGAUUUCAAUGGAAUUUCAGUUAAAUGUAUACGUCAAUUUAGGGAGAAUUGCCAUCUUUAUGACAGCGAGUCUUCUCGCCAGUUAACAUUUAGGUCUGUUUUCUGUAUUUCGAAGCAUUUUCAAAUAUCCUCCUUAAGGUUUUGCUCAAUUUUUUCUUGUUACGUUUAUCCCCAUGUACUUUUUUUUUGUAUCAUAAAUGAAGUUGGAAUUUUGAGUUAUGUUUUCUUACUAUUUGGUGCUGGUGCGUGUGUGCAUUUGCGUGUAGGUGUGUGUCCACGUGUGUUUGUCUGGUAUCCAGCAACCUUAUUGAACUCACUCUCUUUUUAGCUUUAAGAGUUUGUGGUUUCUCUGGGAUUGUCGAUAUACACGGCCCAUCCAGUCAAAGUGUUUGUUUGGGCCCAAUAAAUAACACUCCUCUUUCCUACCCAGCUUCUGAAGUCAAAAUAAGCCAAAAUCCAGCCAGAGGUCAUGCUAUCCUCUCUAUUUGAGGAAAUGCUAUUAGAGAAUACAUGAUACCUACAGACAAGUGAGUUUCCCAGUACGGAACCCCAAAUUAGCAUAUUUGCUCAUCUGAUGGUCGGAUACUGGCCUGUCCCCUUUGUCCACCCAGCCGACCCCACAGCUUAGGAAGAUGGAGAACACACAAUCACUGGGACAGGCCAGCAACUCAGAGCAAAGGAGGAGGAAGGAAAAGCCAGGGAUGAGCAGAGCAUGAGGGGCUCGGUGCAAAAUAAAAAUGCAGAGCUCUCGUUCAGUUCCACAGUCUCCCUCCAACUUGUCAUGGUGUUUAUUUGGUAGCUAUUUAACGUCAUUCUAAGUAUAGAGAAAUUAAAAUUUUAAAUUACUGGCAUGAAUUUUGCCAAUCAUCUUUAUAUUCUACAACUCCGGUUUUCAAGGUAAAUAUAAGAAUGUUGAGCUUGUCCAAGCAAUCAUGGAAGUUACACAAUGUGUAUUUUGUAGCUCUUAGGUGCUUAUGUAUUUCCUUCUUAACAGAAGGGGGAACUUCUGCACACAAUGGACUGUGUGGUUUCUAGUCCACUUCUUGCUGGGUGCACAUUCACCUGACACCUCCGCCCGGGAGCACUGGGAACGAGGAAGGACCCAGAGGAGAGGGAGUUGGGGCCACCCCGUCUUUUCCUCCCUCUGUGUCACGUUUUCAGCUUAAAUGAACCGCUAACACAGGGAAGUAAUGAGAACUCCCAGCAUGAGGGAGGGUUCCUGGGUCCAUGGGUUUUCUCAGGACACGUUGCCUCCUUUCUCUGUUCCAUGAACAGCGUCUCCCAGGUACUGGGUCAUAAAUGGAACACAUUACCUUGAACUCCGGCUGUCACGGGUCCCCCACAUCCUGUGCUCAUGGGCAUCGUGACUGCUCUGUGCAAACAGGAAGGCUAGAACAAGAACAGACACGUGUUCCACCGCCCUAGCAGACAGAAGGCAGGCUCAAAGAGAAGAUCAUAAGAUUUCAAGACAAUGACAGCAGAGCAUCCAAUUGACAGGACUGGUCCCAUGCCCCUGAGAUGGGUCCUGGCUACAGGCCCAGUUCCCCCUCCAACCUCACCUGUCACCUUUGUCACUCAGCCUCUCCGAGAGUCGCUCCAGCUUCAGCCUCAGGCAGACGCAUUGCUUGUAAUUCCCAAAAGCAGGAUUUUAAAACUUACUGUGGAACAAUUGGUAUUGAACAUCAGGAUGUGUUAAGAAGGAAACGUGAUUCCUAAAUUCCGGAAGCCUCAGGAGGAAGAGGCUCGGAAUCCAGGACACAUGCGUGGCCCCCACCCGUGAGGGAAAGAUAGGAGUUCUAGCUGCCGAGACGAAACUUCUGAGUCAUUGUGGACAAAGCCGUACAGUUGAAAAGCACAGGUUUCUAUGAAGCAGCUUUUCCUUCCUGCUGUAGAUUCCAGAAAGGGAGGGAAGGCAGAUCCAACAUGGAAGAGGUCAAAGAGAAGCUGGACCAUCAGGGUGGACAUCGUCCUGGGGGCUGUGUGACUGAGAAAGCCGAUUAACCUCGACGAUGCUCGUUUUCCUGGCUCAUAAAAUGGGGGUGAUGAUAGGUAUGAUAUAACUUUAAAAAGCAACUUGGAGAUCCUGAGCAGUGCACGCCAUCCAGGAAACGACAAAUUUUUGUCCCAGUCUCGGUCCUCACGUACCACCCCUAUAAGUUUCCAGGUCCAAAUAUAUAGAUGUUUUGCCAGACAUUUAUCAUUUGUACAUUGAAAUAACAAACUACUUGCAAGUUGAUUUACCCUCCAAAAGAAGUAGCAUUUCCAACAUUGAGUCAAAGAUACUGAAGAGGCUUUAAAGUUUUCCACAUUAGCCGUCUGUGUCAAGUAACAAUAAGGUGCUUGUUUUUAAGUGAAAAGCCCCAUUCUAUGUGUUUCCCGCUGAGCUGGGUGUUGAUUGUCUGCAGGCAGCCCAGCGACCCUGCCGGCCGCUGUCUGUCCUGCUUUUACAAUCAGUCCUGGGGAGCUUUGAAGCAGCAGAAGAUGCCUCUGAGGGUUUAUCUGAAAGGCCUCGUUGUAGUCCGUCUGGUUGUUUUUAGAGCUGGCUGGAAAAGAGAUCUCUCUAGAUACCGUGCUUAGAAAUCAGUAUGCACGCGUGGUUUCCACUGUCUAAUUAAUUCAAAAUGAUCACGAGAAACUUUGUCCUCUCUACGCAAGGCACAGAGAGAGAACAACUUUUGACCUUUAAUCCCAGUUCCUACCCUGACAAAAGUACCCAAUGGCUUUGAGCGCAUCAUUUCAACCCCCCAGCUUCUGCCGGGUGCUGAGGAGCCUGGGGUCCUAAUUAGUCCUUGAGGGGACUGGAGGGGACGUGAACUGGACAGAUCCUGCCUGGGGGACCAGGACUCUGAAGGGGAGGGCAGAGCUGGCGUGCACCCUGGGGCUGCCCAGAGCUGACCCAAUUUUGCAGCACCAUCCUCUCUGCAAACCAUCAGCCUGUCCUUCAAAAUCUCUUCUUUCUAUCUAGUCACCUUGCUCUUCCAUCGCCGCCCGUGGUGGACAUUGGGGUCACUGAGACGGGCGUGCUCCUAUAUUUUAGAUUUUUCUGGCAUCUGUAGUGUAAACACAGCCCAGGUGGAUCCGAGGUUCGUAGGUUUGAAGAACCAUGAACAGAGGGAAGAUGGAGCAUCUGCUUUCCUACGAGCAACAUGCACAAGGGGGCGGCUUCAGUCUAGGACCCCAACGCUUAACUUGUCAUUUUGCCACCUGUUUUCAGACCCCGUCCAAUUUAGACUCUUGAGAGAUUACUAUUUCUAAAGUUAAACAGUCGAUUAAACAGGAUUUGGUUUAGCCCAUCACAGAUGUUAAAGAUUAAACCAGACCGAGGAGGGAAAACAGCCCACAAUGGAGGCACCCGCCCUCAUUAGGACCUGAGCUGGCACUGCCACGCCAUGCGGGAGCUCUUGACACGUUUCCAGCAGGACUCCCACACACCAGUGGCCGUCCUGGCCACUCCAGGAAGACAGGGACACGGACAGUCCCGUCUUCUUCACCCUUGAUGUCAGGGAGGGUGGCAGUGCUCUCUGAGGACAGCCAUUGUUGGCAGAACCCUGGAUGUGAGAAUUUCAUUGUUCUGCCCUGAGUGGCACUGAGUUACCAGAGCUGGGGGGCACAGGGUAAGGUGGGGCUGACCUGCCCCUGUGCCCGGACAAGGGGCUCUUGGAUCCGCCUGGGUGCUCAAAAAUGGCAGGAGUUAAGAAGGCUCCCAGAGAGCCAUGCACCAGGGACGGCUCUGUGCUGGGAGGGGGACCCCAGCAACCAAGAGCACUGGCUGUGCCUGUGGACCCCCGGUGCCCAGGGUCAGGGUGCUGAGCCACUGUCGACAGCGUGGGACAGAGCACAUCCCUCCAUCCCGAGAACCGCUUCUCCUGUCUUCGACUCACGGAGCCUGUUGGAUUGAAAACAAAAUGCCAGAGAGAGUUCCCAGGUUGCUCCUCCAAGGAGCCAAAGAGAACCCAGAAAUGAGAAGAUGUCAGGGGGCCGGCCUGUGGCUGAGUGGUUAAAAGUUCUGUGUACUCUGCUUCGGCAACCCAGGUAUGCGGGUUUGGAUCCUGGGCUCUGACCCACUCCACUCAUCAGCCAUGAUGUGGAGGCAUCUCAUAUACAAAAUAGAGGAAGAUUGGCACAGAUGUUAGCUCAGGGUAAAUCUUCCUCACCGAAAAAGAAAAGAAAGAGAAGAUGCCAGCAGCAGUGGUCUGGGGCCAGGCUCCCAGAAUCGCGACCUCCUCUGCAUCCAGACCCCCCCAUCCAACAAGGGUGGUGGCCUGGGACAAGGUCACUGCAGAGGAGGAACCUGAGCAGGGACCCUGAUCACCUGCCCAGCUGCCCCUCUCCCAGUGCAUCAAACAAGCAAACUCUUAUUCCUGCUCUUCUGGAUGGAAGGAGCAAAAGCAACCCGAGCCAUAAACAUGAACGUGGAGUGAAGGCUGGCAGAAGCUGUAGGGGGGAAUUCGCUUAUUCCAGGGGUGCACAGACCCGCACAUGCACAGCACCUUGGGUAUCGGUCCAAAGCAGCUCUUCAGGGAGGCUCAUCACAUACCAGCUCCAGCCCCACCCUUCACAGCAGCAUGAAUCCAUCCUAGGCUAGUAUUAGCUCUCACAGAAGAAUGGGGAUUUGGGUGAAAUAGUUUGGGUAGAAAAUGAGAACAAAUGGAGACAGGGUCGUGCAAAUGAUCCAGAGCUAGUUUGUUAGUUACAUGCAAGUCCCUGAAGAAAAAAGAUGUAAUUGCAAGAAUGUCUAAAUUGUUACAAUAUAAAUAAAGGAUUUACGAAAACAUCUUCUUCCUCCCGUGCCCCUGCACAGACUUGUUAAUUUGACCGAGAAGUCAAGCAGGAGAAUUCCAGCAGGGUUUUUAGUGGCUCACGGCUUUUAUGGAAAUUCAACAUAAAAUUUCUCGUCCCCAUUUUCCAUUUUGGCACGUAACUUGCCGCUUAAAUCUCACGUAACACUUGAAGAUAAGUUAAGCUUUGUGCAUAAGGAAGGUUUCACUCAUUGCUUUUCUUUUUAAAAAAUGUGUAAAAUAAAAUGUGGAAUUUUGGUAGUAGAAAAGAAAGCGUGCAUUGUGCCUCUCCAGGGCCCAAACUGUGUUCUCGUGGCUCUGCCCUGGCAGCAAAGAGGUUAAACUGACGUGUGAGAAAGAGAGACCCAUUCAGCAGUGGAUGUAGUGGCUCUUUGUAGUUGAUCUCUUAUCAGCUUCUGGGGGGGAAUAGAGAUAAAUAAGCUAGUUUCUGUGGCUUUUAAACUGAGACGACCAUGAAAAAUUCUCCAGAAUGGCUAAGUAAUAGUUGUCAGAGGCAAUUGGCUGAACUUCCAGCCAAAGAGGUUUUCCAGCUUCUAAAAAGAGAGCAGGAAAUAGUUUCGGCCUUAAGAAUAGCGCCUUUGUAGGGCCACUUAAAAGGACAAAUCGCAUCGCGUGCUCCCUGCGCCGUCCCCCAUCGGGGACCGAGGUGAGAGCAGGUGGGGCCCCACUAGCAGAGCCCAGGCACCUGGCCCCCAGGAGACCUCUCCGUG
ensembl:lncRNA